AGACAGUAGUUGGGGAAGGGUUCCAGAAUUUGUUUGAGGCAUUUAAUUACAAUUGUAUUUUAGUUGCACUUGCAAUCCAUGAGUUAAGAAAGUUACUUCUGCAUCGAAUGGGUGGUUCUCUUCUGACUAUGAUGGACUUUUGAUUGAAAGCAUGAUUUUAACUUUAUCUAGUCAUUAAGCAAUUUAGAGACUUCAUUUCAGCGGUGGUAAAAGUUAAAACUGCUGGAACAAUGACAAAAGUUAUUUUUGCUCCAAAAGAAAGCUGAAGAAUAGCUCUGUGAGGUUUUCACUAUGAUUCAACUGUUGCCGUACCCCUAUUAAAACUUAACUUAUAAGAGAAAUAGAUUUCCAAGAUAAGAUAUGAACCAAUUCCUCAGAAGUUGUUUUUGUGCACUUCAAGAAGAUGCUGUUGGAUCUAAAAGGCCCCUCUAGUGGAAGUAUGGAGUAUUACAUCUUACCUUUCCCCAAUAACUAUUUGUUUGACGAUUUAUUUUUGGUUUGGUGGUGGGGGUGGGUGCCAACUCCGUCAGCCUAAGUUUUGAAACCGUAAAAAUCUUUCCCUUGGGAUCCAAACCUAGACCCUUGAUCAUAGUUUAUGAUACAGGCUGUAGUUUUAAAGAAGUAAUAAUUCAGAAACUUUAGAUGUUCUUGUCUUAUGCUGUGAAAUUCAAAUAUAUUUUCUACUAACCACUUUGACAAGAAUUAUAAUUCUCCUCAGUAAGUUCAAUCAUUCUGCAUGUUGCUUGAUAUGGAGUCAAUGGCAUUUAUGCAACACAUGUUUGUAGAACAUUUUCUGGUGUUGAUUUUGUAACCCAACUGUGAAUAUGGGUUGGAUCUAUUUCAUGAAGAUAGAUAUAUACGUGUGCUAAUUGGCUGAUGCUACAAAUAUAGACACCUUCCAUGUGUUAUGGCCUCAAGUGUAUUCUUCUACAUCAUUAGAAGGCUAGUUUCACCCGUUAGGAUGUCCCAAUAAACCAAGAAAGUUAUAUGAGUUAAGCAGGGCUUUAUGUCACACUAUAUCUGAAUUCCUGAUUGUAGGUGAAUAGUUAGGCACCCUGAAGUUUAGAUGUUCUUGUCUUAUGCUGUGAAAUUCAAAUAUAUUUUCUACUAACCACUUUGACAAGAAUUAUAAUUCUCCUCAGUAAGUUCAAUCAUUCUGCAUGUUGCUUGAUAUGGAGUCAAUGGCAUUUAUGCAACACAUGUUUGUAGAACAUUUUCUGGUGUUGAUUUUGUAACCCAACUGUGAAUAUGGGUUGGAUCUAUUUCAUGAAGAUAGAUAUAUACGUGUGCUAAUUGGCUGAUGCUACAAAUAUAGACACCUUCCAUGUGUUAUGGCCUCAAGUGUAUUCUUCUACAUCAUUAGAAGGCUAGUUUCACCCGUUAGGAUGUCCCAAUAAACCAAGAAAGUUAUAUGAGUUAAGCAGGGCUUUAUGUCACACUAUAUCUGAAUUCCUGAUUGUAGGUGAAUAGUUAGGCACCCUGAAGUUAUUGUUCACUUUGGUGCUGACUACAUAUUCAUUUUGUUGAUAAUCUCUCUUUCUCUCUCUCACACACACACAAACAAACACACACACAAAUACAUGUUUUAUAUCUAUUUUGAU
rnacentral:lncRNA from 1 species